CCUACGGGUGGCAGCAGUGGGGAAUAUUGGACAAUGGGCGAAAGCCUGAUCCAGCCAUGCCGCGUGUGUGAAGAAGGCCUUCGGGUUGUAAAGCACUUUCAGUGGGGAAGAAAGCCUUGGGGCUAAUACCCUCGAGGAAGGACAUCACCCACAGAAGAAGCACCGGCUAACUCCGUGCCAGCAGCCGCGGUAAUACGGAGGGUGCGAGCGUUAAUCGGAAUUACUGGGCGUAAAGCGCGCGUAGGCGGUCUGAUAAGCCGGUUGUGAAAGCCCCGGGCUCAACCUGGGAACGGCAUCCGGAACUGUCAGGCUAGGGUGCAUGAGAGGAAGGUAGAAUUCCCGGUGUAGCGGUGAAAUGCGUAGAGUUCGGGAGGAAUACCAGUGGCGAAGGCGGCCUUCUGGACUGACACUGACGCUGAGGUGCGAAAGCGUGGGUAGCAAACAGGAUUAGAUACCCUGGUAGUC
rnacentral:rRNA from 1 species